rnacentral:rRNA from 1 species
AGAGUUUGAUCCUGGCUCAGAACGAACGCUGGCGGCGCGUUUUAAGCAUGCAAGUCGAACGGUAGGGGUACCUUCGGGUACUUUGAGAGUGGCGGACGGGUGAGUAACACGUAGGUGAUCUACCCUUGGAUGGGGGAUAGUCCAUGGAAACAUGGGGUAAUACCGCAUAAGGCCUAUAUUCUGCGGGGUAUAGGUGAAAGGCGCAAUUGUGCUGUCUGAGGAUGAGUCUGCGGUCCAUUAGUUAGUUGGCAGGGUAAGAGCCUACCAAGGCGAUGAUGGGUAGCCGGCCUGAGAGGGCGCACGGUCACACUGGGACUGAGACACGGCCCAGACUCCUACGGGAGGCAGCAGCUAAGAAUCUUCCGCAAUGGGCGCAAGCCUGACGGAGCGACGCCGCGUGGACGAAGAAGGCCGAAAGGUUGUAAAGUUCUUUUGUAGGUGAAGAAUAAGGUAGGGAGUGGAAUGCCCUGCUGAUGACGUUAGCCUGCGAAUAAGCCCCGGCCAAUUACGUGCCAGCAGCCGCGGUAACACGUAUGGGGCGAGCGUUGUUCGGAAUUAUUGGGCGUAAAGGGCGUGUAGGCGGUUCUGUAAGCUUGGUGUUAAAACUGCAGGCUUAACCUGUAGGUGGCGCUGGGAACUGCAGGACUAGAGUUCAGGAGGGGGAGCUGGAAUUCCUGGUGUAGGGGUGAAAUCUGUAGAUAUCAGGAAGAACACCGGUGGCGAAGGCGAGCUCCUAGCCAUGGACUGACGCUGAGGCGCGAAAGCGUGGGGAGCGAACAGGAUUAGAUACCCUGGUAGUCCACGCUGUAAACGAUGUGCACUAGGCGUUGGGUGUGGAUGAAGCACUCGGUGCCGUAGCUAACGCGUUAAGUGCACCGCCUGGGGAGUAUGCCCGCAAGGGUGAAACUCAAAGGAAUUGACGGG